rnacentral:rRNA from 1 species
UACGUAGGGUGCAAGCGUUUGUCCGGAAUUAUUGGGCGUAAAGAGCUCGUAGGCGGUUUGUCGCGUCGGCUGUGAAAACCUGGGGCUCAACCCCGGGCCUGCAGCCGAUACGGGCAAACUAGAAUUCGGUAGGGGAGACUGGAAUUCCUGGUGUAGCGGUGAAAUGCGCAGAUAUCAGGAGGAACACCGGUGGCGAAGGCGGGUCUCUGGGCCGAUAUUGACGCUGAGGAGCGAAAGCGUGGGGAGCAAACAGG